AAGAAAGUUUCAUUUCAUUCGUAAGACUAAAGAACUGCAGUAAGCACUAAAAAUUUGUAACUUUUUUUAACAAAAACAAAGAUACAUUGCAUUGAUUAGGUAAUAUUAAUCACACAAAAUACGAUCUCUACCAUCCCAAGUACAACAACAAUGAACAAAAGUAGUCCCAACAAUUUCCUAUACUAACUACAUUAACUAGCUUAAAUUACAAAUGAUUUUCUCAGAAACUUGGUUCAGUCCAUCUACAAGAGCAAGAACCACAACAACGCCAUAUGAUUAAGGCUACCAGUAGAACAACAGACACUACUGUGUUCCUCCAUUUUUUUUGGCUCGAUCUCUUUCUUGAUCAAAUGUAGCCUUCACUCUCUUCGGUAACCCCAUAUAACUCUAUUCACUUACUCAGGAAACUCAUCCUCAAGCCAUCUUAAAUAUUUAUAUCCCCCAUUGUCCUUUAAAAAAAUAAAAAAAUGAACUGAUAUAAAUCAACAACAAAUAAAAUUGUAUAAAAUAAUUUUGUGGAGUACUGUUACUUUGCUAAUUUGUAUACAAGUACCUUCUUCCUCGGUUUGCAGCACUCUAUGAGAUUUUCAGUGCACACAGACGACCACAUAGACACCAAUCAACCAUUUCGGUAUUUUGGAACAUUAAUCGAACAUAAAUUAAGAGAAAUAAUAGGAACGUUUACGUCAAAAAUUCGACUAAGGAGGAUGGAGUUCUUUUAAAUUGAAAAAAAAGCUCCGAUUUUCACUUAUUGAUGAAGAAUUUAGCUCAGUUGAAAUGAAGAGAAAUUAGGGCUUGGGAGAAGAUAACAAUGGAGAAAGGGGUUUAAAUGAUAAAAAUAACGCGGGAUUUGGUUUAUUACCGUUGGAAUAGUCUAAGUCAGCUUUAUUUUAUAAUCAUCACGUGCUAAAUAUCUGUGAUUCCUG
rnacentral:lncRNA from 1 species